CGCGCGGACGCGCGAGCUGAGCGCAACAGAAAAAAGCCGUUGGACGACGCCACCGCGUAAUUAAUGUCAGUUUUCGGCCGCUAAUUCACCACGAAGUCAACCAGCAAUAUUCCUAAGUCGGUGAUGGCUGUGAAAUUCGAAUCAUUUUCAACCAUCCCAGCAAAGAUGCCGCCAAUAACAGAUACGUGGCCACGGCUUGCUUGUGUACAUACUCCAACUCAUGCUCGCUGCGCUUGGUGUUUGGUCUUCAACUUUUGGGACUUAAGACGGCCCGGCAUUAUGUAAAUUUUGAUUGGAUCACCAAUUCGCAGCUUGGGUUCUAGACCUAGAAGAUGUCUGCUGGCAUGCACUUGUGUUUGGUUAAUCUGCUUGCGCGGUGCUGACACGGAUUCCAGGUACCAGUUCAGACAACUACAAUGAACUUAUCCCACAGUUUCCAGCCCAAAGUCUGAGGAUGGCUGUUUUGGCUCACAUGGAAUGGACGCGACCCCAGAG